GAUGAAGAACGUAGUGAACUGCGAUAAGUAAUGUGAAUUGCAGAAUUCAGUGAAUCAUCGAGUCUUUGAACGCACAUUGCGCCCCCUGGCAUUCCGGGGGGCAUGCCUGUCCGAGCGUCAUUGCUGCCCUUCAAGCCCGGCUUGUGUGUUGGGUCGUCGUCCCCCCCGGGGGACGGGCCCGAAAGGCAGCGGCGGCACCGCGUCCGGUCCUCGAGCGUAUGGGGCUUUGUCACCCGCUCGAUUAGGGCCGGCCGGGCGCCAGCCGGCGUCUCCAACCUUCUAUUUUACCAGGUUGACCUCGGAUCAGGUAGGGAUACCCGCUGAACUUAAGCAUAUCAAUAAGCGAGGA
rnacentral:misc_RNA from 1 species